rnacentral:rRNA from 1 species
GACGAACGCUGGCUGCGUGCUUAACACAUGCAAGUCGAAGGGAAACGCCCUGCUUUCGUGGUUUGCUCGAGUGGCGAACGGGCGAGUAAGACGUACGCAACCUGCCCUUGACUUUGGGUUAACUUCAGGAAACUGGGGCUCAUACCGGAUAGGAGUUCCUUCUGCUUGGUGGGGGUUGGAACGUUUCGGAGGUUGGGGAUUGACUCGCGGCUUAUCAGCUUGUUGGUGGGGUAGUGGCUUACCAAGGCUUUGACGGGUAGCGGGCCUGAGGGGGUGACCGGCCCCAUGGGGAAAGAGAUACGGCACAGAGUACUACGGGAGGCAGGAGAGGGGAAUAGUGCACGAUGGGCGGAAGCCUGGUGCAGCAACGCCGCGUGCGGGAUGACGGCCUUCGGGUUGGAGGCCGCAUACGCCUGUGACGAAGCGUGAGUGAAGGUAAUGGGUAAAGAAGCACCGGCUAACUACGUG